rnacentral:snRNA from 1 species
AGCUUUGCACAGUGUCAGUGUCGUAGCCAAUGAGGUUUACCAGAUGCGCGAUUAUUGUUAAUUGAAAAAUUUUCCCAAUAAUGAGAGAGUCAGUCAGAGUCAGAAGAUUUCAUUAAGACUAAGAGGUGAUCAUGACAUAUUCCUUAAAUUUUCAGGCUCCAUAAAAAAUACCGGG